rnacentral:rRNA from 1 species
GACGAACGCUGGCGGCGUGCUUAACACAUGCAAGUCGAACGGAAAGGCCCUGCUUUUGUUGGGUGCUCGAGUGGCGAACGGGUGAGUAACACGUGAGUAACCUGCCCGUGACUUUGGGAUAACUUCAGGAAACUGGGGCUAAUACCGGAUAGGAGCUCCUGCUGCAUGGUGUGUGCUGGAAAGUUUCGGUGGCUGGGGUAGGACUCGCGGCUUAUCAGCUUUUUGGUGGGGUAGUGGCUUACCAAGGCGUUGGCGGGUAGCCGGCCUGGGAGGGUGACCGGCCACAUUGGGACUGAGGUACGACCCAGACGGCUACGGGAGGCAGGGGUGGGGAAUAUUGCACGAUGGGCGGAAGCCGGAAGCAGCAACGCCGCGUGCGGAAUGACGGCCUUCGGGUUGUAAACCGCUUUCGCCUGUGACGAAGAGUGAGUGACGGUAAUGGGUAAAGAAGCACCGGCUAACUACGUG